rnacentral:tRNA from 3 species
GCAGCGGUAGUUCAGUUGGUUAGAAUACCGGCCUGUCACGCCGGGGGUCGCGGGUUCGAGCCCCGUCCGCUGCGCCC